rnacentral:tRNA from 1 species
GCCGAUGUAGCUCAGUUGAUAGAGCGUUCGACUUGUAAUCGAAUGGUCGGGGGUUUGAAUCCCUCCAUCGGCUCCA